rnacentral:rRNA from 1 species
AAUAGGGUUAAAAACAUAAGUUUUUAAAUUACUUCUUAGAAGGACUUUGCGUGUCUAACGCAAGGAAGUUUGAGGCAAUAACAGGUCUGUGAUGCCCUUAGAUGUUCUGGGCUGCACGCGCGCUACAAUGAUGCAUUCAACAAGUCAACAACCUUGGCUGGUAAGUUUAGGUAAUCUUUUGAAUGUGCAUCGUGAUAGGGAUAGAUUAUUGUAAUUAUUAAUCUUAAACGAGGAAUGCCUAGUAAGCGCAAGUCAUCAGCUUGCGCUGAUUACGUCCCUGCCCUUUGUACACACCGCCCGUCG